GAUGAACGCUGGCGGCGUGCCUAAUACAUGCAAGUCGAGCGGACAGACAAUGAGCUUGUGCCUUUGACGUUAGCGGCGGGCGGGUGAGUAACACGUGGGUCAUGUACUUAUAAGACUGGUAUAACCCCGGGAAACCGGGGCUAAUCCCGGAUAACAUCUAGAACCGCAGGGUGCUAUAGAGAGUGACGGCUUUGGUGUCUCUUAUAGAUGGAUCCGGGCCGGAUGAGCUGGUAGGGAAGGUAACAGCCUAUCAAGGCGACGAGACGUAGCCGACGUGAGAGGCUGAUAGGCCACAUGGGAAGGGGAACACGGUCCAGGCGCCUACGGGAGGCAGCAGUAGGGAACGUUCGGCAAUGGGCGGAAGUCUGACGCAGCAACGCCGCGUGAGUGAUGACGACCUUGGGUUCGGAAUGCUCGGUUAUUGGGGAAGAACAGAUGUCGCCGUAGAUGAGGCCGUCUUGACGGUACUUAAUAAGGAAGCACCGGCUAACUACGUG
rnacentral:rRNA from 1 species